AUAUCUUCCAAGGUGGCCUUCCGUGUUUAUAAUACAUGUGGGCCCUAAUAUGAAUGUUUUUACACACCCAUCGUUUCCAUGUGGAGAAAUAAAGUAUAUUCAAAUAUUGUAUUAUCAUAACCUGUAGAACAGUCCAUCCUAUACCUUGUAGCCAAGUAGGGAAUCUAGUAAAUUACAACAUAAGGGGGCUUGAGGAAGACAGUCUGAGGUUCUUGAAUUAUACCAGGUUUCUGACAAUCAAAGAAAUCUGGUCCAAUUUUUGUCACAUCCAUAAACUUGAUAGUUUUCGCCAACAUCCCUCCUUUAUAUUGAUCGAUCAGGUGAGUGAUAUAGCCUACAGAUUUACCAAUCAGCUGGACGAAGAAAGAACGAACACGGCGACAAAGAAAUCUGUUAUCGUGGACAUCUACCGAAAGCGACAACAGGAGAGCGAUCCUCACGAGUAACGCGGACAUUUAUACCGCUCACAAAUUCCUUCACUAUUUUUUUUCGUUUAUUUUUUUUGUUAUGGUGUUUAAAGAUUACUUGUUAUGUGUAAAGAUUACUUGUUAUGUUUUUCUGUCUAAUAGAUAUCACCACAAGGAAAACAUGCAAGAUAUGUUUUUGAUUAAAUAAACAGGAACUC
rnacentral:sRNA from 1 species